UACGGGGGGUGCAAGCGUUGUUCGGAAUCAUUGGGCGUAAAGAGCGUGUAGGCGGCGUGAUAAGUCAGAUGUGAAAGCCCUGGGCUUAACCCAGGAAGUGCAUUUGAAACUGUCUUGCUUGAGUAGGGGAGAGGAAAGUGGAAUUCCUGGUGUAGAGGUGAAAUUCGUAGAUAUCAGGAGGAACACCGGUGGCGAAGGCGACUUUCUGGCCCUAUACUGACGCUGAGACGCGAGAGCGUGGGGAGCAAACAGG
rnacentral:rRNA from 1 species